rnacentral:rRNA from 1 species
GACGAACGCUGGCGGCGUGCUUAACACAUGCAAGUCGAACGGAAAGGCCCUGCUUUUGUGGGGUGCUCGAGUGGCGAACGGGUGAGUAACACGUGAGUAACCUGCCCUUGACUUUGGGAUAACUUCAGGAAACUGGGGCUAAUACCGGAUAGGAGCUCCUGCUGCAUGGUGGGGGUUGGAAAGUUUCGGCGGUUGGGGAUGGACUCGCGGCUUAUCAGCUUGUUGGUGGGGUAGUGGCUUACCAAGGCUUUGACGGGUAGCCGGCCUGAGAGGGUGACCGGCCACAUUGGGACUGAGAUACGGCCCAGACUCCUACGGGAGGCAGCAGUGGGGAAUAUGGCACAAGGGGCGGAAGCCUGAUGCAGCAACGCCGCGUGCGGGAUGACGGCCUUCGGGUUGUAAACCGCUUUCGCCUGUGACGAAGCGUGAGUGACGGUAAUGGGUAAAGAAGCACCGGCUAACUACGU